GUGUCAGCAGCCGCGGUAAGACGAACCGUGCGAACGUUAUUCGGAAUCACUGGGCUUAAAGCGCGUGUAGGCGGGAAGGCACGUCUGUCGCUGAAAUCCCCCGGCUUAACCGGGGAACGGGCGUAGAUACGACCUUCCUGGAGGAACGUAGGGGGACCUGGAACUUCCGGUGGAGCGGUGAAAUGCGUUGAGAUCGGAAGGAACGCCCGUGGCGAAAGCGAGGUCCUGGACGUUUUCUGACGCUGAGACGCGAAAGCCAGGGGAGCGAACGGGAUUAGAUACCCCAGUAGUCC
rnacentral:rRNA from 1 species